rnacentral:rRNA from 1 species
GACGAACGCUGGCGGCGUGCUUAAUACAUGCAAGUCGAGCGGUAAGGCCCUUUCGGGGGUACACGAGCGGCGAACGGGUGAGUAACACGUGGGUGACCUGCCCUCAGCUCUGGGAUAAGCCUGGGAAACCGGGUCUAAUACUGGAUAUGACUCCAUGACGCAUGUUGUGGGGUGGAAAGCCUUGUGCGGCUGAGGAUGGGCCCGCGGCCUAUCAGCUUGUUGGUGGGGUGAGGCCUACCAAGGCGACGACGGGUAGCCGGCCUGAGAGGGCGACCGGCCACACUGGGACUGAGACACGGUCCGGACUCCUACGGGAGGCAGCAGUGGGGAAUAUUGGACAAUGGGCGAAAGCCUGAUCCAGCGACGCCGCGUGGGUGAAGAAGGCCUGCGGGUUGUAAAGCCCUUUCAGUGGGGAAGAAAAGCCUCGACCUAACACGUCGGGGUCUUGACGUAACCCAUAGAAGAAGCACCGGCUAACUCUGUG